rnacentral:rRNA from 1 species
GAUGAACGCUGGCGGCGUGCCUAAUACAUGCAAGUCGAGCGAACGGACGAGAAGCUUGCUUCUCUGAUGUUAGCGGCGGACGGGUGAGUAACACGUGGAUAACCUACCUAUAAGACUGGGAUAACUUCGGGAAACCGGAGCUAAUACCGGAUAAUAUUUUGAACCGCAUGGUUCAAAAGUGAAAGACGGUCUUGCUGUCACUUAUAGAUGGAUCCGCGCUGCAUUAGCUAGUUGGUAAGGUAACGGCUUACCAAGGCAACGAUGCAUAGCCGACCUGAGAGGGUGAUCGGCCACACUGGAACUGAGACACGGUCCAGACUCCUACGGGAGGCAGCAGGAGGGAAUCUUCCGCAAUGGGCGAAAGCCUGACGGAGCAACGCCGCGUGAGUGAUGAAGGUCUUCGGAUCGUAAAACUCUGUUAUUAGGGAAGAACAUAUGUGUAAGUAACUGUGCACAGCUUGACGGUACCUAAUCAGAAAGCCACGGCUAACUACGUG